CAGCAGCCGCGGUAAUACGAAGGGUGCAAGCGUUAAUCGGAAUUACUGGGCGUAAAGCGUGCGUAGGCGGUUUGUUAAGUCUGUUGUGAAAUCCCCGGGCUCAACCUGGGAAUGGCAAUGGAUACUGGCAAGCUAGAGUGUGUCAGAGGAUGGUGGAAUUCCCGGUGUAGCGGUGAAAUGCGUAGAGAUCGGGAGGAACAUCAGUGGCGAAGGCGGCCAUCUGGGACAACACUGACGCUGAGGCACGAAAGCGUGGUGAGCAAACAGGAUUAGAUACCCCGGUAGUCCCUGUCUCUUAUAC
rnacentral:rRNA from 1 species